rnacentral:rRNA from 1 species
AUGAUCUAGCGUGUACAUAAUGAAAACUUCAUUCUCGAUUCUACGGGAAUUUUUAUGAAAACGUUUCAUUUGCUUCUGUUCGGAAGUUUCAUUUUCGUAGAAUGUAUCCUAAUUUUUUGCCUAAUUCUUCCUCUGAUGAUCGAUUCAAUCUUUGAUAAAAAAGAUAGACCUUUGUUCUAUUUCAUCUCUUCAACAAUUUUAGUAACAAGCAUAAAAAUUCGUUGUAGCAUUGUUCCAGAAAAUCAUCUUUGUGGUCCCUAA